rnacentral:rRNA from 1 species
UACGGGGGGGGUAAGCGUUGUUCGGAAUUACUGGGCGUAAAGCGUGCGUAGUCGGUUAUUUAAGUCGGAUGUGAAAUCCCCGGGCUCAACCUGGGAAUUGCAUUCGAUACUGGGUAGCUAGAGUUCGGCAGAGGGAAGCGGAAUUUCGGGUGUAGCGGUGAAAUGCGUAGAUAUCCGAAGGAACAUCAGUGGCGAAAGCGGCUUCCUGGACCAGAACUGACGAUCAGGCACGAAAGCGUGGGGAGCAAACAGG